AAUCUUCCGCAAUGGACGAAAGUCUGACGGAGCAACGCCGCGUGAACGAUGAAGGCUUUCGGGUCGUAAAGUUCUGUUGUUAGGGAAGAACAAGUACCAGAGUAACUGCUGGUACCUUGACGGUACCUAACCAGAAAGCCACGGCUAACUACGUGCCAGCAGCCGCGGUAAUACGUAGGUGGCAAGCGUUGUCCGGAAUUAUUGGGCGUAAAGCGCGCGCAGGUGGUCCUUUAAGUCUGAUGUGAAAGCCCACGGCUCAACCGUGGAGGGUCAUUGGAAACUGGGGGACUUGAGUGCAGAAGAGGAAAGUGGAAUUCCACGUGUAGCGGUGAAAUGCGUAGAGAUGUGGAGGAACACCAGUGGCGAAGGCGACUUUCUGGUCUGUAACUGACACUGAGGCGCGAAAGCGUGGGGAGCGAACAGGAUUAGAUACCCUGGUAGUCCACGCCGUA
rnacentral:rRNA from 1 species